rnacentral:misc_RNA from 1 species
CAGAGUUGCAAAACUCCCUAAACCAUUGUGAACGUUACCUUCAAACCGUUGCUUCGGCGGGCGGCCCGGGUCCGCCCGGUGCCCCCUGGCCCCCUAGCGGGGCGCCCGCCGGAGGAAAACCCAACUCUUGAUUAUUAUGGCCUCUCUGAGUCUUCUGUACUGAAUAAGUCAA